rnacentral:rRNA from 1 species
UACGUAGGGUGCAAGCGUUAAUCGGAAUUACUGGGCGUAAAGCGUGCGCAGGCGGUUAUGUAAGACAGAUGUGAAAUGCCCGGGCUUAACCUGGGAACUGCAUUUGUGACUGCAUGGCUAGAGUUUGGCAGAGGGGGGUAGAAUUCCACGUGUAGCAGUGAAAUGCGUAGAUAUGUGGAGGAACACCGAUGGCGAAGGCAGCCCCCCUGGGUCAAGACUGACGCUCAUGCACGAAAGCGUGGGGAGCAAA